UGGAAAACUUAAUUCUGUCGGGGAACAAUAUUACUAGUCUCCCUAUAUCCAUUAGUAAGCGUGAUCGUUUGGUUGAAUUGUCAAUUAGUUAUUGCCAUCAAUUACAAGAGAUUCCCAAGCUUCCGCCAUUUUUAAAUUUACUGCUCGCGAAUGGGUGCGAAUCUCUACAAACAAAUGGACAUUUAACUUCAAUUGAUCAGUGGGUCCAUCGAGGAUUGACCAUGGUUGACACUGCUUUAAUUGCCAAGAGAUUUCCUUGCACUACUUUUGUUCUCCCUAAAGGAGAGAUGCCAAAGUGGCUUCAACCAGUUGAAGAUGGUUUUGUAUCUUUCAUGGCUUCAAAGGACUUAUAUGACAAGUUUCUUGGAUUGAUUUUCUACGGCGUAUGUAACAAUGAAGGCGAUUAUUGCAAUCUUUGCUUUCACCCAUAUUUUAAUGGCAAACACUACGGUAGCUACAUAACAGGGGUCUACAGAUCGGAUCCAGGUGGCAUCCUCAUAAACUAUUUUGCACCAUCUGACUUAUGGAGAGCAGUCCAUUUUGAUCAAAUUGAUGGGAGUUAUGCACAAUUCAACCUUAAAUUAGAGAGCAUGGGUCAGGGCGUGAAAAAGUGGGGAAUUCGAAUAAUAUGCAAGCAAUUAGAGGACGAUUUAAAAGCUACGCUCCGAGACAAUAAGUUAAUUGAUCCAGCUUUCCUUUACGAGAUUGGUCAUGACUCAACAGAUCCAGAAGUCGAGAGUUCACAUGUGCAUGGAGACAACCCAAUCGAAAUGGAUCAGCUAAAACACUUGCAAGAGAGUUCACAUAUGCUCGAAAACAGACUGAUCGAAUUUGAUCUAGAUUGUCCACCGAGUUCUUACAAGCAUGGUAAAGCCAUAGACAUGAGAGAUCGCGAGACUUUUUGUCCUGGAUGCUUUCUUCCUGGAGACCCGCGCAGCCUGGGGAACAAAAAGUACAAGCUUUGGUUGGAAGAAUAUGGAGACUUUCUAAGGAUGUAAUUCGUCCGUUCUUCCUUUUGGCUAAAUCCUCUUUUCUCCGCCCUACCCAAACUUCUAGCUCCAUCAUCUUCCGUCGGACACUGGCGAUCUCUGACAAAUGCAAGAUCGCCGCUUGGCAAGCGGAGGCGACCCACAGAAGAAGUCCUUAGCGAACCGACGGGCGACGGGGGCCAACGAGCGGAGGCGAUGGACUACCGCCGCUGCCGACCGACGCCAUGGGAACCGGUGGCGUAGCUUCUUCAGGGGAACGAUUCUCUCCUGAGGUUCCUGGCUUCGUGCGGCUUGCUAUAUAGAUCGGGUAACACCUGGCACAUCCAGAUUGUAUCGAGUCGAUGCAAUACUUGAGCUGGAUUUUGAAUUCGAUUCGUUUGGUGCUGGAGUUGCGCGGGAACAUGAAGAAUGCGUCGUUGAAUUUGUUUGGGAGGCGCUGAAUGAGUGUUCUCUUCGGAAGUUUAGUCUGUGGAUGCUUGGUAGUGAAUUCAAUGGUAAGCGACGGUGCACGCUGCAAAAUCAGGGACAAUCCCUAGAAGGCGAAACUUGCUUUGGACAGCCUUGAAGUUCCAGCUGGGUAAGAAACUGGUUUUUGGUAAACAGGUGCAUUUCAGAUAUUUUACGUUAUUUGCCAAUUACGAUGAUUGGUAUUUCAGUCUUAAUUGGUGAAUGAUUUCAGAUUGUGCUUUAUUUGUGUAAUAUUUUGAUUGAACAACUGUGUGAUUGUUGAGGAUGGGAACUUUAUUGCAGCAAGAAGAAACCCGGCUAGUGAGACACAAAAUGUAUGAUUAUCGGUAUUUCCCACCCUUUCUUUAAGUUUUGGCCAAGCAGCACUUUGUUAUUGCUCGGAUCGAUACCCUCAAAUUAUCCACUCGUAGUUUAUUGUUGAUCAUUUCAUGUUUCUCUCUUAAGUAUUUCUCUAAUAGAUGAUAAAACAUAUAUUGGACCAAAUCUGUUAAUGAGUGGAUUUCUUUAUGCAUUAUUAGGCUAUAAGGGGUGAUGUUCCCAUUAAUCUUUCAUAAAAUAUACUGCUAACAAGUAACAAUAACUAAAAUCUUGCUUUAUUAUGCCUAAUGUUUCAUGCUUUUCAUUUGCCAUUUUUCUCUGUCUGGAACAAUAUUACAGUCUUUAUUUGAUUUUGUGAAGUUCCUACCAUUGUUUUUGUAGACCUUAUGUCAGCUAGACUAUAGGUAUACUUAUUUGGUAUAAAAAUGCGCUGUGAGCAUUGUAUUGCCUUUUGAGAUGUAAGAACCUGCUCCUUGGGACAUUUCUUCAUACAAUGACCAUAUUUACACAUAGUUUAAGCCUGGUUUCUGGUAAAGAUCAUCUCUUAUGUAAUAGUCUAUUGCUGUAAUCUUUGAUAGUUAUGUGGUGACGGUACACUGCUAUAAAUGGCUUUGUGGACAGUAAUGAAUAGUUGAUGCGAAGAUUAUCUGGCCCUUUUAGUAUCUUGUGGAGCAUAAUAAGAAAAAAGAGGUUCCUUGCUACAGGGGUAUAUAUGAAAAUACUGUUAGAAAAGUUGGAGGUGGCCAAUCCAAUAAAAAGCCUCUUUUUCCAUGUAAGAUUUGCAGCAACUUCAAGCAAGCAAAACUUGUUGAAUUCACGUAGUGUAUGCCUUGAUCAAUCUCAUAUAUACUUUCGAUCAGUUAGCUUAAAGGAGAACACAUUUCUUAUGGACUGCAUUUUCUGAAUUUAUGUUGAAACUAUGCUAAGGGCAAUUGUCUCUCUGACAAAGCUCCUAAGUUUGAUAUGGUUGCGUUGUUUUCUCCUUGUUCUUUCAAAGGCAACAAGACAUGCAGAGAUGGAAGCUCUUGAUAUUGUUCUUGAAUAGUGGCAAAGGACUGGAUUAUUGGCUGCAGAAGUUGCGGAGAAGUUUUCAGUAUGCUCUCUAUAUGGGACAUGUGAACCGUGCACAAUGAAAAUAAAUGGAGUAAUGGGAAUUCUGGAUCAAAGGGUUUCAAACGAUGUGGAGGUAUAAUGGCAUCAGAAGCAAUUUCUCUUCUGUGAGAUUUUUAUGAACAAGGAAACUCUAAUGAUAAAUAAAGCUGGCCCAGUGGAAUGUCAUGUAAUGACAAAGGGUUAAUGAAAUUGCAAGCAUCCAUCAAGUAGAAGGUGUUUAUUUUGAGAUGCUCCAAAGCCUCAGGUCACGAUGGGUAAAUCAUGCUUCUCAUUGGAUAUGCCUGCAUUGAUUCAUCCUGUUGAACACUCUCAUGCCUUUGCACAAUUAGAAUUUCAUCAAGGAAUCUGAGGAAGGAAGUGUGAUGCAUGUCCAGAUCAGAUGUUCGUCCAGAUGUUCGUGUGUUUACGGAGGGUUGCAGAUGUGAUCACAAGCGAUUUCAUGCUUGAACAUGAUUGUCAGAUUGUUUAGAUAAUUUUACGGCAUAAACCUGUGUAGGCAUCAGUUUUGUGAGGUUAAUUUUUGUCAUCUAUAUAUUCUGUGAUGGAGUUUGAUUUGAGUUUUUCUAACUUUGAAAUAA